AUGAUUUGUCUGGGGAGCUGUUACGGCUGAGAGGGACUGAUGGUAGUCCGACCCAUGAACCUGAUUCGGAUAAUUCCGGCGUAGGAAGAUACAUAUGAUUCGUC
rnacentral:ncRNA from 2 species